rnacentral:rRNA from 1 species
GAUGAACGCUGGCGGCGUGCCUAAUACAUGCAAGUCGAGCGAACGGACGCGAAGCUUGCUUCUCUGAUGUUAGCGGCGGACGUGUGAGUAACACGUGUAUAACCUACCUAUAAUACUGGGAUAACUUCGGGAAACCGGAGCUAAUACCGUAUAAUCUUUUGAACCGCAUGGGUCAUAGGUAAAAUACGGUCGUUCUGGCACUUAUAGAUGCAUCCGCGCUGCAUUAGCUGGUUGUGAAGGUAACGGCUUACCAAGGCAACGAGGCAUAGCCGACCUCAGUGGGGGAUAGCCGGCCGUAGAGCUUGGACGGGGACAAGGGUCCUGAGGGAGGGCGCAGUAGGGAAUGGGCCGCAGUAGGGGGGAACCUGGCGGAGCAGGGGGGAGUGAGUGAUGAAGGUCUUCGGAUCGUAAAACUGUGUUAUUAGGGAAGAACCGAUGUGUACGUAAAUGUGGCCAUAGUGACGGUAACGGAUAAGAAAGCACCGGCUAACUACGUG